UGGCUCAGGAUGAACGCUGGCGGCGUGCUUAACACAUGCAAGUCGAACGAUGAAGCCCAGCUUGCUGGGUGGAUUAGUGGCGAACGGGUGAGUAACACGUGAGCAACCUGCCCCGAUCUCUGGGAUAAGCGCUGGAAACGGCGUCUAAUACCGGAUAUGCACCAGAACGGCAUCGUUACUGGUGGGAAAGAUUUUUCGGUUCGGGAGGGGCUCGCGUCCUAUCAGCUUGUUGGUGAGGUAAUGGCUCACCAAGGCGUCGACGGGUAGCCGGCCUGAGAGGGUGACCGGCCACACUGGGACUGAGACACGGCCCAGACUCCUACGGGAGGCAGCAGUGGGGAAUAUUGCACAAUGGGCGCAAGCCUGAUGCAGCAACGCCGCGUGAGGGAUGACGGCCUUCGGGUUGUAAACCUCUUUUAGUAGGGAAGAAGCCUUCGGGUGACGGUACCUGCAGAAAAAGCACCGGCUAACUACGUGCCAGCAGCCGCGGUAAUACGUAGGGUGCAAGCGUUAUCCGGAAUUAUUGGGCGUAAAGAGCUCGUAGGCGGUUUGUCGCGUCUGCUGUGAAAACUGGAGGCUCAACCUCCAGCUUGCAGUGGGUACGGGCAGACUAGAGUGCGGUAGGGGAGAUUGGAAUUCCUGGUGUAGCGGUGGAAUGCGCAGAUAUCAGGAGGAACACCGAUGGCGAAGGCAGAUCUCUGGGCCGUAACUGACGCUGAGGAGCGAAAGAGUGGGGAGCAAACAGGAUUAGAUACCCUG
rnacentral:rRNA from 1 species